GUUGUAUCGAUCAGGUAGUGUAAGGGUUACGCCCGCUUCACAGUGACAGACCAUACUCCCCGUUUAACGCACCGCAAACAGUCUAUUUGCACAAGAGCAAACUCCCCAUUUGCACAAGGUUGGAUACCAAGCUAGCCAUGUCCCGUUCUUUGUCCUCACUGAUGUCAUUGAAGGUCUCUUCCUCCACCCAGCCACGUACGACACCAAGGGUCCCCGAAAGGUGACAACAAGCCCCCUG